AGUUAUAUUAAAAUCCAGAAUUUUCUUUCAAACUAAUUAUCUCUCCCCUUCAUUUUUUUGUUCUUACGCAGGUAUGCUUUCCCCCUCUCUCUCCCUACCGUCUCUCUCUCUUCCCUAUACUCCGGCUAGUGUCGCCGGUCCUCGCUGCCUCCGGCGCGGCGAGGCCGGCCUCUUCUCUUCCCCCUCCUUCUUUCCUCUUUUCCCUAUAACUAAAUCCCCAAAUCAUAAAAUCUAAUUCCUAGGGUUUCUACCUCCCUUAUUCCCCUCUGGAAUUAAUCUCACCGGCGAAGCCUGCCGCCACCGCCGUCGUCCUCGUCGCACCGCCGCCACCGCCGUCGUCCUCAGGAAUCGACCGGCGUCGUCGUUGCUUGAGACGUCUCCGGCGCAACAGUCCUUUAUCAGCUCAAGAUCCUAUUUUUAUGAUUGUUUUCCUUUUUAUUGCUUAUUGAGAAACAACUGUAUUCGUGAGAUUAGAAUUAGAGAUAUGUAACUAUUGUUCAUCUUUGCUGUCGAUUACUGUUUUAGCAAUGAGAUAAUUGUACUGAAUUAAAGAAAA